rnacentral:lncRNA from 1 species
UCAGGACCUGCAGAGUCGCCAGAAGCAUGAAAUUGAAUCUUUGUAUACCAAACUGGGCAAGGUUCCCCCUGCUGUCAUUAUUCCCCCAGCUGCUCCUCUGUCAGGGAGAAGAAGGAGGCCUACUAAAAGCAAAGGCAGCAAGUCCAGUCGCAGCAGCUCAUUGGGCAACAAAAGCCCUCAGCUUUCAGGUAACCUGUCUGGUCAGAGUGGAACUUCAGUCUUAAACCCCCAACAGACCCUCCAUCCCCCAGGCAAUACCCCAGAGACUGGACACAACCAGCUGUUACAGCCUCUUAAGCCAUCUCCCUCCAGUGACAACCUCUAUUCAGCCUUUACCAGUGAUGGUGCCAUUUCAGUACCAAGCCUUUCUGCUCCAGGUCAAGGUAAGAAUUCAAAGUGACCACCAUCUUCCAGAAGCAUUAAAAUAGAAAUAUUGCCUUACUUGCUACAAAAGCAAGAUGGAUACCUUACUGCCAUCA